rnacentral:rRNA from 1 species
GUAGUCCUGGCUGUAAACGAUGUCGACUUGGAGGUUGUGCCCUUGAGGCGUGGCUUCCGGAGCUAACGCGUUAAGUCGACCGCCUGGGGAGUACGGCCGCAAGGUUAAAACUCAAAUGAAUUGACGGGGGCCCGCACAAGCGGUGGAGCAUGUGGUUUAAUUCGAUGCAACGCGAAGAACCUUACCUGGUCUUGACAUCCACAGAACUUUCCAGAGAUGGAUUGGUGCCUUCGGGAACUGUGAGACAGGUGCUGCAUGGCUGUCGUCAGCUCGUGUUGUGAAAUGUUGGGUUAAGUCCCGCAACGAGCGCAACCCUUAUCUUUUGUUGCCAGCGGUCCGGCCGGGAACUCAAAGGAGACUGCCAGUGAUAAACUGGAGGAAGGUGGGGAUGACGUCAAGUCAUCAUGGCCCUUACGACCAGGGCUACACACGUGCUACAAUGGCGCAUACAAAGAGAAGCGACCUCGCGGGAGCAAGCGGACCUCAUAAAGUGCGUCGUAGUCCGGAUUGGAGUCUGCAACUCGACUCCAUGAAGUCGGAAUCGCUAGUAAUCGUGGAUCAGAAUGCCACGGUGAAUACGUUCCCGGGCCUUGUACACACCGCCCGUCACACCAUGGGAGUGGGUUGCAAAAGAAGUAGGUAGCUUAACCUUCGGGAGGGCGCUUACCACUUUGUGAUUCAUGACUGGGGUGAAGUCGUAACAAGGUAACCGUAGGGGAACCUGCGGCUGGAUCACCUCC